GAUGAACGCUGGCGGCGUGCCUAAUACAUGCAAGUCGAGCGGACCAAAGAGAGCUUGCUCCCUGAGGUUAGCGGCGGACGGGUGAGUAACACGUGGGUAACCUGCCUGUAAGACGGGGAUAACUUCGGGAAACCGAAGCUAAUACCGGAUGAUAAAGAGAAACGCCUGUUUCUUUUUUGAAAGUCGGCCUUGUGCUGACGCUUACAGAUGGGCCCGCGGCGCAUUAGCUAGUUGGUGUGGUAACGGCUCACCAAGGCGAUGAUGCGUAGCCGACCUGAGAGAGUGAUCGGCCACACUGGGACUGAAACACGGCCCAGACUCCUACGGGAGGCAGCAGUAGGGAAUCUUCGGCAAUGGACGAAAGUCUGACCGAGCAACGCCGCGUGAGCGAUGAAGGCCGUCGGGUCGUAAAGCUCUGUUAUCAGAGAAGAACAAGUACCGGAGUAACUGCCGGUACCUUGACGGUACCUGACCAGAAAGCCACGGCUAACUACGUGCCAGCCGCCGCGGUAAGAC
rnacentral:rRNA from 1 species